UCCGUAGGUGAACCUGCGGAAGGGAUCAUUA
rnacentral:rRNA from 3 species